AUUGAACGCUGGCGGCAUGCCUUACACAUGCAAGUCGAACGGCAGCACGGGAGCAAUCCUGGUGGCGAGUGGCGCACGGGUGAGUAAUAUAUCGGAACGUGCCCAGUCGUGGGGGAUAACGCAGCGAAAGCUGUGCUGAUACCGCAUACGAUCUAUGGAUGAACGCGGGGGACCGCAAGGCCUCGCGCGAUUGGAGGGGCCGAUAUCAGAGUAGCUAGUUGGUGGGGUAAAGGCCAACCAAGGCGACGAUCUGUAGCUGGUCUGAGAGGACGACCAGCCACACUGGAACUGAGACACGGUCCAGACUCCUACGGGAGGCAGCAGUGGGGAAUUUUGGACAAUGGGCGCAAGCCUGAUCCAGCAAUGCCGCGUGCAGGAUGAAGGCCUUCGGGUUGUAAACUGCUUUUGUACGGAACGAAACGGUGAGCUUUAAUACAGUUUGCUAAUGACGGUACCGUAAGAAUAAGCACCGGCUAACUACGUGCCAGCAGCCGCGGUAA
rnacentral:rRNA from 1 species